rnacentral:misc_RNA from 1 species
CCAAACUUGGUCAUUUAGAGGAAGUAAAAGUCGUAACAAGGUUUCCGUAGGUGAACCUGCGGAAGGAUCAUUAUUGAAUGUAUGCAGUUGUAGCUGGCUUUUAACUAGGCAUGUGCACGCUGCUAAAUUCUAUUUUCCACCUGUGCACUUUUUGUAGGAGUUCUCUUAGAUUGGCUUACAGGUUUCGACCUUGUAGUUGAUUUGAAAGGCUUCUAUGUCUUACAAACUAGUUAAGCAUGUUUAGAAUGUAUUUUAUUGGGACUUAAUUGACCCUUUAAAGUUAUACAACUUUCAGCAACGGAUCUCUUGGCUCUCCCAUCGAUGAAGAACGCAGC